rnacentral:rRNA from 1 species
UAAAGAUUUAUCGCCUAAGGAGGAGUCUGUGUCCUAUCAGCUAGAAGGUGUGAUAAUGGCGCACCUUGGCUAAGACGGGUAGCUGGUGUGAGAGCAUGACCAGCCACGAGGGCAUUGAAAUACGGGCCCUACACCUACGGGUGGCAGCAGUGGGGAAUAUUGCGCAAUGGACGAAAGUCUGACGCAGCCACGCCGCGUGAAGGAUGAAUGUCUAUGGAUUGUAAACUUCUUUUGGAGAGGGAAGAAAUUUUGACGGUACCUCUCAGAAUAAGGGGCGGCUAACUCCGUGCCAGAAGCCUCGGUGAUACGGAGGCCCCAAGCGUUAUCCGAAUUUAUUGGGCGUAAAGUGUUGCGUAGGUGGCUUUGUAAGUCUCGGAAUAAAUCUUUGGGCCCAACCCAAAGCGUAUCUGAGAAACUGCAGAACUUGAGGAUAUUUAAGGUAAGCGGAAUUUUCGGUGGAGGGGUAAAAUCCAUUGAUAUCGGAAGGAACACCAAUGGCGUAGGCAGCUUACUGAAAUACUCCUGACACUUAGGCACGAAAGCGUGGGUAGCGAAACGGAUUAGAUACCCGUGUAGUCCACGCCGUAAACGAUGGAUGCUGAUUGUUGGGGGUUCGAUCCCCUCAGUAAUGAAGCUAACGCGUUAAGCAUCCCGCCUCUAGAUUACAACCGCAAGGUUAAAACAGAAAGGAAUAGACGGGGGCUCGCACAAGCGGUGCUACAUGUGGUUUAAUUCGAUAGUGCGCGAAAAAUCUUACCAGGGCUUGACAUCCCAAGAAGUCUCUCGAAAGGGAGAUGUGCCCGAAAGGGAGCUUGGUGACAGGUGAUGCAUGGCUGUCGUCAGCUCGUGCCGUGAGGUGUUCGGUUAAGUCCAGUAACGAGCGCAACCCUCACUCUUAGUUAUUUUGUCUAAGGGGACUGCCCGAGUAAUCGGGAGGAAGGUGAGGAUAACGUCUAGUCAGUAUGUUUCUUACGUCCUGGGCUACACACAUGUUGCAAUGGCUAGUACAAAGGGUUUUGCCAAAGAGUAAUCUGGAGCCAAUCCUAAAAGCUAGUCUUAGUUCAGAUUGUGGGCUGAAACUCGCCCACAUGAAGUUGGAAUCGCUAGUAACCGUGGAUCAGCACGUCACGGUGAAUAUGUUCCCGAGUCUUGUACUCACCGCCCGUCAGUUCCGGGAAGCUGGGAACUUCUGAAGAUUCGCAAGUUUUUGCGGAUUGAAGUUGGGUUCAGUAACUUGGAAUAAGUCGUAACAAGGUAACC